UACGGGGGGGGCAAGUGUUGUUCGGAAUUACUGGGCGUAAAGGGCUCGUAGGUGGCCAACUAAGUCAGACGUGAAAUCCCUCGGCUUAACCGGGGAACUGCGUCUGAUACUGGAUGGCUUGAGUUUGGGAGAGGGACGCGGAAUUCCAGGUGUAGCGGUGAAAUGCGUAGAUAUCUGGAGGAACACCGGUGGCGAAGGCGGCAUCCUGGACCGACACUGACGCUGAGGAGCGAAAGCCAGGGGAGCAAACGGG
rnacentral:rRNA from 1 species